rnacentral:rRNA from 1 species
AGAGUUUGAUCAUGGUUCAGACUGAACGCUGGCGGCAGGCCUAACACAUGCAAGUCGGACGGUAGCACAGAAGAGCUUGCUCUUCGGGUGACGAGUGGCGGACGGGUGAGUAAUGUCUGGGAAACUGCCUGAUGGAGGGGGAUAACUACUGGAAACGGUAGCUAAUACCGCAUAACCUCGCAAGAGCAAAGUGGGGGACCUUCGGGCCUCACGCCAUCGGAUGUGCCCAGAUGGGAUUAGCUAGUAGGUGGGGUAACGGCUCACCUAGGCGACGAUCCCUAGCUGGUCUGAGAGGAUGACCAGCCACACUGGAACUGAUACACGGCCCAUACUCCUACUGGAGGCAGCAGUGGGGAAUAUUGCACAUUGGGCGCAAGCCUGAUGCAUCCAUGCCGCGUGUAUGAUUAAGGCCUUCGGGUUGUAAAGCACUUUCUUGGGGAGGAAGGCGGUGAGGUUAAUAACCUUACCGAUUGACGUUACCCGCACAAGAAGCUCCGGCUAACUCCGUGUCAUCUGCCUUGUUUAUAUUGACG